rnacentral:rRNA from 1 species
UACGUAGGGUGCGAGCGUUAAUCGGAAUUACUGGGCGUAAAGAGCGCGCAGGCGGUCGUUCAAGUCGAGUGUGAAAGCCCCCGGCUCAACUGGGGAGGGUCACUCGAUACUGAUCGACUUGAAGGCAGGAGAGGGAAGCGGAAUUCCCGGUGUAGUGGUGAAAUGCGUAGAUAUCGGGAGGAACACCAGUGGCGAAGGCGGCUUCCUGGCCUGUUCUUGACGCUGAGGCGCGAAAGCUAGGGGAGCAAACGGG